rnacentral:rRNA from 1 species
CUCACAUACGGUAGAAAUUCCGUAGCCUCUAUCAAUUUAAACACAGGGACACUUUUGAAGGGUUCAGCCGGGCGAUGGUUGCCCCGGUCGUAAGGGACUGCAAAUGAGCGGGAAGUGAAUUUGGAAGAAGGCGAGAAAAGCUGUGUGAAUAGAAGAUAGAGCCCGUACCGCAAACCGACACAGGUAGAUAGGAAGAAGAUUCUAAGGCCAACGGGAGAAGGGUUGUUAAGGAACUCGGCAAGUUGACCCCGUAACUUAGGGAGAAGGGGUGCUCUUUAAGGAGAGCCGCAGAGAAUAGGCCCAAGCGACUGUUUAGCAAAAACACAGCUCUAUGCUAAAUCGAAAGAUGACGUAUAUGGGGUGACACCUGCCCGGUGCCGGAAGGUUAAGAGGAGGAGUGAGAGCUCUGAAUUGAAGCCCCGGUAAACGGCGGCCGUAACAAUAACGGUCCUAAGGUAGCGAAAUUCCUUGUCAGGUAAGUUCUGACCCGCACGAAUGGUGUAACGAUUUGGGCACUGUCUCAACAACCUGCCCGGCGAAAUUGUAGUACCGGUGAAGAUGCCGGUUACCCGCGACUAGACGGAAAGACCCCAUGGAGCUUUACUGCAGCUUAAUAUUGAAUUUCGGUAUUUCAUGUACUGGAUAGGUGGGAGACAGGGAACCAUAGGCGUCAGCUUAUGGGGAGUCGACCUUGGGAUACCACUCUUGAGGUGCUGGAAUUCUAACCUGUGGCUCUGAAUCGAGUCAGGGGACAUUGUUAGGCGGGCAGUUUGACUGGGGCGGUCGCCUCCAAAAAGGUAACGGAGGCGCUCAAAGGUUCGCUCAGCAUGGAUGGAAACCAUGCUUUUGAGUGUAAACGCAAAAGCGAGCCUAACUGCGAGACUGACGGGUCGAGCAGUAACGAAAGUUGGAGUUAGUGAUCCGGCGGUAUGUGAGUGGAAAUGCCGUCGCUCAACGGAUAAAAGCUACCCUGGGGAUAACAGGCUGAUCUCCCCCAAGAGUCCACAUCGACGGGGAGGUUUGGCACCUCGAUGUCGGCUCAUCGCAUCCUGGGGCUGAAUUCGGUCCCAAGGGUUUGGCUGUUCGCCAAUUAAAGCGGUACGCGAGCUGGGUUCAGAACGUCGUGAGACAGUUCGGUCCCUAUCUGUCGUGGGCGUAGGAUAUUUGAAAGGAGCUGUCCCUAGUACGAGAGGACCGGGAUGGACGCACCGCUGGUGCACCAGUUGUCAUGCCAAUGGCACAGCUGGGCAGCUAUGUGCGGAACGGAUAAACGCUGAAGGCAUCUAAGCGUGAAGCCGACCUUAAGAUAAGAUAUCCCUUCGUAAGAGUAAGACCUCUCAUAGACUAUGAGUUUGAUAGGCCUAAGGUGUAAGCACAGUGAUGUGUUCAGCCUGCAGGUACUAAUCGGUCGAGGGCUUUUCC